UACGUAUGGGCGAGCGUUGUUCGGAAUUAUUGGGCGUAAAGGGCGUCUAGGCGGGGAUUUAAGUUAGGUGUGAAAGCUAUGGGCUCAACCCAUAAACUGCAUCCGAUACUGCCAUGCUAGAGAACUGAAGAGGAGUGUAGAAUUCUCGGUGUAGCAGUGAAAUGCGUAGAUAUCGAGAGGAAUACCAACGGCGAAGGCAGCACUCUGGGCAGUUUCUGACACUGAGGCACGAAGGCUAGGGGAGCAAAC
rnacentral:rRNA from 1 species